rnacentral:rRNA from 1 species
CAAGGGUYGGGCUGUUCGCCCAUUAAAGCGGUACGCGAGCUGGGUUCAGAACGUCGUGAGACAGUUCGGUCCCUAUCCGUCGUGGGCGUAGGAAAUUUGAGAGGAGCUGUCCUUAGUACGAGAGGACCGGGAUGGACAUACCUCUGGUGUACCAGUUGUCGUGCCAACGGCAUAGCUGGGUAGCUAUGUGUGGACGGGAUAAGUGCUGAAAGCAUCUAAGCAUGAAGCCCCCCUCAAGAUGAGAUUUCCCAACUUCGGUUAUAAGAUCCCUCAAAGAUGAUGAGGUUAAUAGGUUCGAGGUGGAAGCAUGGUGACAUGUGGAGCUGACGAAUACUAAUCGAUCGAAGACUUAAUCAAAUU